rnacentral:misc_RNA from 1 species
AACGCAUCUUGCACUCCUUGGUAUUCCAAGGAGUAUGCCUGUUUGAGUGUCAUGAAAACCUCAACCUCAUGUUUGGUUGAACCAAAUUUGAACGUUGGAUUUGGGUGUUUGCCAGUGACAAACUGACUCGCCUUAAAAGCUUUAGCUGGAUUAGUCUUUUGACUGGUUAUCCUAGGCGUAAUAAGUAUUUCGCUUAGGACAUGGGCUAGUUCCAUGGCCAGGAUUCUGACAUAAGUCUGCUUUCCAUCCUUACGGCUUUAAUUGGCCUCAUCUUGACAUCUGGCCUCAAAUCAGGUAGGACUACCCGCUGAACUUAA